rnacentral:rRNA from 1 species
UACGGAGGAUCCGAGCGUUAUCCGGAAUCAUUGGGUUUAAAGGGUCCGUAGGCGGAUAGUUAAGUCAGCGGUGAAAGUCUGCAGCUCAACUGUAGAAUUGCCGUUGAUACUGGUUAUCUUGAAUCAAAUUGAAGUGGCUGGAAUAUGUGGUGUAGCGGUGAAAUGCAUAGAUAUCACAUGGAACACCUAUUGCGAAGGCAAGUCACUAAAUUUGCAUUGAUGCUGAUGGACGAAAGCGUGGGGAGGCAAACA